ACCAGAUGAUAUCAAUUGACUACAUUAAUAAUGACAUUGCGUAUGAAACAAACUGUCUGCUUAAUCAGAUGAACAGACCCGCGUCAGUUAUUCGUGACUUCACUACGCCACGAGCAACACUUGAUUCUAUUAGAAAAUGCUUUUUUAAAUGUCUCGCGUGACGUCUGGUAUAUUAACUGAAAAAAAAAUCGCUUUGAAGUGACCACACCUUAAAGCUGACGUUUUCAGAAGAGCACCUUGUUUUAAGAUCUCAUUUUGUCCAAAAUUGCGUCCUAUGACAGAUAUAAUACUUAUUUCAUUAUUGCUCUGUAUGUGUGACCUUAAUCAUUUGAGGUUGUGUGUUGAUUUCACCUCUGAAUUUUUCCUCUUAUAGGUCCAUCAUCCUUGCAUGCGCUACACACUCAAAAGCAUUGAUAAAUGCUGAAUUUAAAAGAAUCACUACUGUCUUAUGUUCCUGCGUGUCACCUGGACCUCCAAUCCAAAAACCUGACGAAACUCUUCUAUCAGAAAGGAGGACAGCCAGCAAACAGACUUCAAACAAUGAAUGAUCAAAUGACAGAAGGCAUGAAUGAAGUCAGCAUCAGUGUGGUCAUUUGAAGACACCACUGUUGGGAUUUGUGCUCUCAAACAACAUGCUUCUUGUGAUGAAGAAGAGGAUCUUUGUAUAGUCCUGGAAGGCAUGAAGGUGUUGCAACAUCGUGCCAUGUUGUUUGAGCUGAUGUAUGCCUUAAACCUGAGCUAUCCUGAUCUCUGCUUUAUUUUUGAAGAAAUCCAAAAGAUUUUAAUGGAACUGCAUUGAGCGUAACUUUAACGAACCGUUUCUUUCAGUGAAAGGAUCAGAAAGACUG